AGAGUUUGAUCAUGGCUCAGGACGAACGCUGGCGGCGUGCUUAACACAUGCAAGUCGAACGGGCACAUUCCUUCGGGGAUGUGUCAGUGGCGGACGGGUGAGUAACGCGUGAGCAACCUGCCUCAGAGAGGGGAAUAACACAGGGAAACCUGUGCUAAUACCGCGUAACGCAAUCGGGUGGCAUCAUCUGAUUGUCAAAGGAGCAAUCCGCUCUGAGAUGGGCUCGCGUCCGAUUAGCUAGUUGGUGGGGUAACGGCCCACCAAGGCGACGAUCGGUAGCCGGACUGAGAGGUUGGCCGGCCACAUUGGGACUGAGACACGGCCCAGACUCCUACGGGAGGCAGCAGUGGGGAAUAUUAGGCAAUGGGGGAAACCCUGACCUAGCAACGCCGCGUGAAGGAUGAAGGUCUUCGGAUUGUAAACUUCUUUGGCCCGGGACGAUAAUGACGGUACCGGGAGAACAAGCCACGGCUAACUACGUGCCAGCAGCCGCGGUAAUACGUAGGUGGCAAGCGUUGUCCGGAAUUACUGGGUGUAAAGGGCGAGUAGGCGGGUGCACAAGUCAGAUGUGAAAAUCCGGGGCUCAACCCCGGACCUGCAUUUGAAACUGUGCGUCUUGAGUGAUGGAGAGGCAGGCGGAAUUCCCGGUGUAGCGGUGAAAUGCAUAGAGAUCGGGAGGAACACCAGUGGCGAAGGCGGCCUGCUGGACAUUAACUGACGCUGAGGCGCGAAAGUGUGGGGAGCAAACAGGAUUAGAUACCCUGGUAGUCCACACCGUAAACGAUGGAUACUAGGUGUGGGGGGUCUGACCC
rnacentral:rRNA from 1 species